AUUGAACGCUGGCGGCAGGCCUAACACAUGCAAGUCGAACGAGUGGCGGACGGGUGAGUAAUGUCUGGGAACCUGCCUGAUGGAGGGGGAUAACUACUGGAAACGGUAGCUAAUACCGCAUACCCUCAGAUGUGCCCAGAUGGGAUUAGCUUGUUGGUGGGGUAACGGCUCACCAAGGCGACGAUCCCUAGCUGGUCUGAGAGGAUGACCAGCCAAACUGGAACUGAGACACUGUCAAGACUCCUACGGGAGGCAGCAGUGGUGAAUAUUGAACAAGGAGCGCAAGACUGAUGCAGCCAUGCCGCGUGUAUGAAGAAGGCCUUCGGGUUGUAAAGUACUUUCAGCGGGGAUGCGUUACCCGCAGAAGAAGCACCGGCUAACUCCGUGCCAGCCGCCGCGGUAAUAC
rnacentral:rRNA from 1 species